UCCCGCACGAGCGCACCCUUAUCCUUUGUUGCCAGCGGUCCGGCCGGGAACUCAAAGGAGACUGCCAGUGAUAAACUGGAGGAAGGUGGGGAUGACGUCAAGUCAUCAUGGCCCUUACGACCAGGGCUACACACGUGCUACAAUGGCGCAUACAAAGAGAAGCGACCUCGCGAGAGCAAGCGGACCUCAUAAAGUGCGUCGUAGUCCGGAUUGGAGUCUGCAACUCGACUCCAUGAAGUCGGAAUCGCUAGUAAUCGUGGAUCAAAAUGCCACGGUGAAUACGUUCCCGGGCCUUGUCCACCCGCCCGUA
rnacentral:rRNA from 1 species